UCGAGUAUUGGGGUUCCUUCUGGGCCCCUACUCCCACACCAUGUGUACCUUACCUUACUGUUGCCUCGGCGAGCCGCCUUGCGGCGCCGGGCCCCUCGUGGGUCCGGAGAGCGCCCGCCGGAGGACCAACCAAAAACUCUUUUGUCAAUCGACGCAGUCUGAGUAUAAUUCUUUGAAUUAAAUUA
rnacentral:misc_RNA from 1 species